rnacentral:rRNA from 1 species
UGGCGUACGGGUGAGUAGCACGUGGAUCAUCUACCCUGGAGUGGGGAAUAACGCUGGGAAACCGGCGCUAAUACCGCAUAAUCCCGAGAGGGCAAAGGAGCAAUUCGCUUCAGGAGGAGUCCGCGGCCGAUUAGCUUGUUGGCAGGGUAAAAGCCUACCAAGGCAACGAUCGGUAGCCGGCCUGAGAGGGCACACGGCCACACUGGCACUGAAACACGGGCCAG